GGGGAGAUCACUGUUGAUGUAACAGUAACGACUCCAGAGAAUAAGACACUGAACACCACUUUGUCCAAGGGGACACAGACACACUGGUUUGGACUGGAUCAGUGUACAUAAGGCAUCCGCAGAACAGUUGAGGAUGGCGCACUUCAGGGACACUUGGAAAACAUUACCGCUAGCGGAAUAUUGCGUUGGACACGCACAGACGUAAGACGGAGGCGUGUUGAUGCAUUGUCCCCCAUUGUGGCAAGGCUUGACAUCACAAGGGUCAUCUGAAACAUUUUUUUUACCGUUAUUACGGUCUUCAAAUCCGCAUUAUCAGAGCAAAAUCAUCGACAGUCGUUCAGAAAUAACAUCUCCAUAUCUUACGCUUCUGCCACAACACCCACCGCCUCAAAAUUGCCAGGGUCUAUCAUCAUGACAGUGCCACAAGUAGAAGAAUCAAUGCGAAGUGUCUCAA